rnacentral:rRNA from 1 species
UGCAAGUCGAGCGGUAGAGAGAAGCUUGCUCCUCUUGAGAGCGGCGGACGGGUGAGUAAUGCCUAGGAAUCUGCCUGGUAGUGGGGGAUAACGUUCGGAAACGGACGCUAAUACCGCAUACGUCCUACGGGAGAAAGCAGGGGACCUUCGGGCCUUGCGCUAUCAGGUGAGCCUAGGUCGGAUUAGCUAGUUGGUGAGGUAAUGGCUCACCAAGGCGACGAUCCGUAACUGGUCUGAGAGGAUGAUCAGUCACACUGGAACUGAGACACGGUCCAGACUCCUACGGGAGGCAGCAGUGGGGAAUAUUGGACAAUGGGCGAAAGCCUGAUCCAGCCAUGCCGCGUGUGUGAAGAAGGUCUUCGGAUUGUAAAGCACUUUAAGUUGGGAGGAAGGGCAGUAAAUUAAUACUUUGCUGUUUUGACGUUACCGACAGAAUAAGCACCGGCUAACUCUGUGCCAGCAGCCGCGGUAAU